rnacentral:rRNA from 1 species
AACAAACGCUGGCGGCGUGUCUUAAGCAUGCAAGUUGAGCGGCAAGGAGGAGAGAUCCUCCCUAGAGCGGCGGACUGGUGAGUAACGCGUGGGUAAUCUAUCGUAGGCAUGGGGAUAGUCACUAGAAAUAGUGGGUAAUACCGAAUACGUUCCAUGAGGGGAGUAUUCAUGGAAGAAAGGGUGCUACGGCACUGGCCUUAGGUGAGCUCGCGUCCCAUUAGCUAGUUGGUGAGGUAAAGGCCCACCAAGGCGAUGAUGGGUAGCCGGCCUGAGAGGGUGUACGGCCACACUGGGACUGAGAUACGGCCCAGACUCCUACGGGAGGCAGCAGCUAAGAAUUAUUCCGCAAUGGACGAAAGUCUGACGGAGCGACGCCGCGUGGAUGAAGAAGGCCGAAAGGUUGUAAAGUUCUUUUGCUAGGGGAAAUAAGUGAGGGAGGAAUGCCCUCAUGAUGACAAGGACUAGCGAAUAAGCCCCGGCAACUACGUGCCAGCACGG